GAACAACGCUUAUUUAACAGAUACGAAGCAGGACUGUAGAUAAAUUUAGAUGAUACAGAAAUUACCUGUCUUAAAUGUAUACUGGAGAUCAAUUAGAGACGGUUGGGUGAGAUGUUUUUCAAAUUUAAUGGGAUUCACCUCAAUAACUGUUACUACAAUA